rnacentral:rRNA from 1 species
AUUGAACGCUGGCGGCAUGCCUUACACAUGCAAGUCGAACGGCAGCACGGGAGCUUGCUCCUGGUGGCGAGUGGCGAACGGGUGAGUAAUACAUCGGAACGUACCCAGGAGUGGGGGAUAACGUAGCGAAAGUUACGCUAAUACCGCAUAUUCUGUGAGCAGGAAAGCGGGGGAUCGCAAGACCUCGCGCUCUUGGAGCGGCCGAUGUCGGAUUAGCUAGUUGGUGAGGUAAAAGCUCACCAAGGCGACGAUCCGUAGCAGGUCUGAGAGGAUGAUCUGCCACACGGGGACUGAGACACGGCCCAGACUCCUACGGGAGGCAGCAGUGGGGAAUUUUGGACAAGGGGGCAACCCUGAUCCAGCCAUGCCGCGUGAGUGAAGAAGGCCUUCGGGUUGUAAAGCUCUUUCGGCGGGGAAGAAAUGGCAACGGCUAAUAUCCGUUGUUGAUGACGGUACCCGCAUAAGAGGCACCGGCUAACUACGUGCCAGCCGCCGCAGUAAUAC